rnacentral:tRNA from 1 species
GGUAGAGUGGCUGAGGCAAAGCGGCGAGCUGUAACCUCGCAGACCGGGGUUGACCCGCUCCACCAGGCC